UUUUUUUUUUUUUUUUUUUUUUUGGUCUUUUUAUUUUCUAUCAGUAUUGUUGUUAGUGAGCAUAUUUAUUCUGAAGUAUACAAAGAAGAAUAAGAAAACAGUGCUUUCUGUUGCUGGAAAAAUCUUGGCCAAGUCAGGAGAGAGGAACCACAUGGUCAUUUUAACAGGUGAAGUUUAAUAUAAAGGACUAUAAAUAUGACAGGGAAUAGGAGGUGAGAGAUUGAUAAAGAGGUAAAGAGAACUCUGUAGAAUACAAGAAGAGCAGGUAUAACAUGAACUUAACAGCCACUUCCCUAAGGCUGAGAUAGAGUACCCAAAGAAGGGGCCCCUUGGGACUGACUUCAGAGUUUGUUGCAGAGGACCUGGCUGUGUCUCUCAGUGCAGAAAAGUCAGUGUAGUGUCUUGUUGAUGGAACUUACCCGAAAUCCACCCCCCUGGAGCUUGCUGAAGAUGCAUCUUAUUAGAGGCACUCCACUAUAAAAUCACCCAAAGCUGGUGCUGGGGAAGCUGCUGGGUCAGCUGACCUCUCUACAAUUGCAGGAGCUGGGCCCUGGGGAAGCCAGGAGGGAACAGAACCCUUCCCUCCUGCCCUCUCUAGUGUGUCUCUCCAGUGCCCUCUCUUGACAAAACUUUACAUGCUGCAGUUGUCAAAGAAAAUCUGUUUAAGGACUCAGAUCCAUUUUCAGAGCAGGCCAAAAGGAUGAAUUUGGAGCUGAGAGGCAAUAGUUAAUAACCAACAUAACCUGCAAGAUCAUUCAUGACAAAAAAUUUUUCCUUUCCCAUGACUAUGACAGUCUGUGAAAUAGCCUGAUUUCAUUUCUACUAAAAUGUCUCUAAGAGGCAUAUGAAUUGUUAGGCAUAUCAGUUUAUUUAACUUCUAAUGAAAUGUAUUACUACUUUGUAAUUAGUGUAUGUCUAUUCUCCUGAUAAAUCCUUAAGAAUCUGUGUCACUAUAAAAGCUGAUUUUUAUUUAUUAUUUUUUAAAAAGUGCUGCUUCAUUUCUUCAUGCUUCUGACCUAUAUUCAUUAGACUAUAAAUAUCAACAUACAUGUUACACAGGCGAUUGGAAGCCACCUGUGAAGAAUUUAUUCUUGGUUUAAAACUGUUUUUGAAAAUAUCUCUAGGAACUUGUUAUUCACUUAACAAAUACAUUUUUUAAUUUAAAAAAAUUUUUUUAAGAUUUUAUUCAUUCAUGAGAGACACAGAGAGAGAGAGAGAGAGAGAGAGGCAGAGACAUAGGCAGAGGGAAAAGAAGGCUUCCUGCAGGGAGCCCAGUGUGGGACUCGAUCCCAGGAUACUGGGAUCACUCCUUGAGCUAAAGGCAGAUGCUCAAGCACUGAGCCACCCAGGUGUCCCUAAUUUUAAAAUUCUUGACAUUAACAUAACUAGAUUGAAGUGUUAUGACAUUCUGCUUUAAUAUUUCUUAUUGACAAACAAAAUUCAUGAGCUAAAGAAGACUAGACUAAAAAGAAAAGGAGACUCCUGGCUGGCUGUUAGAGGAGCAUGAGACUCUUAAUCUUGGUCAUGAGUUCAAGCCCCGUGUUAGGUGUAGAGAUAACUAAAAAAAUUUUUAAAAACUUAAAAAAAAAGAACAAGAAAAGUUUAUAAAACUAAGUAUGGAUCCCUGAGUUAGCAGCCAAACAAAGAACAUGAUUUUAAUUUGUUAGAUGUAUAGAAACUAAACACUUAAAAUUAUUUAAAACUUGAAAGCACUAGCCAAGAGUUAUGUAGGUCCUGUGGGAGAACUAGCAGAAAAUAUCUAUAGGUAAACCUGUGUUGUGCUGGUUGUACCCCACAUCACUUCCAGGGAAACAGGGACAUUAAAUGGAUACUGGGUUAAAUUAAGGAUAUUGAUCUACCUAUCAGAAGAGCCUUUCACCGUAUAUGGUAAGUUUGAUCUGGCCCCAUACCUGAUGACUCAUGUUAACCCCUUUGUAGUCCAUUAUUUAGAACAACUAGUUUAUGUGUGGCUUCAGUAGGUAUAUCCAGAAUUUCUCAGUAAGACUUCUCUCAAGAGUUGAAUCCAAUUCUGAUAAACCUGAAGCUCUCCUCCAUCAUGGCAAAGUGAGAUUAUUGUCUUCUACCUGGUUUGAUUUGGCCACAGUGGUAAAGUAAUGUGGUGUCUUUAAAUCAAGUAACAUUUACAGGUGGUCUUCUGGGUCAUAGAUGACAUGGAGAUGGACUGCACAAAGGGAACUGGAGAGCUAGACUGUGGUAAAUGACUCCAGUUUGACCAACAUAUCUGCUUGACAAAAUUGGUUACAGAUUACAGAGUACUAGCAUUAUUCUUUUAAAAUAAUUUUAAUAAUAUCAAAAAACAUCCCACAUGAGGUGAGCUUGCUUUUUAAAACUAAGACAUAAUUAUCACAAGUUCAGUGAAUAAUAAUUAGGAGUGAGUUUAGGAAUGCUAAACUGAUACUUUUAAAAGAAAGUAUGGCUAUUAAAAAUAAGACUUUUUUGGUGUGUAAUAAACUGAUACAGAAGACAUUUCUAAAAGAAAAAUUACAAAUACAGUUUGAGAAGUUGCAAAUUAUGAGUAAGUAUAUAUUUCCCAAAUUGCCUACCCUAAUGGGUUCAGCACUCAUCUAUAUGUAAAGUAUGAAAUUAUAUAUUAAAGAAAAAUGUAGUCUCAUUACUUUGUACUCAUAACUCUUAGUGUAAUAGCUUUGGGUUGCAGCAAAAUCCAAACUUUUGCCUCUAGAGUAGACUAAAUAAUAUGUGUUCUUCAUGCAUAGGCUUAUGUAGAAGAGAGAGAGAGAGAGAGAGAGAGAGAGUGUGUGUGUGUUACUAAACUGAGUUUAAAAAAAAGAUACUUUAUAUUGUAGAAACAUUCCCAAAUGUAGGAAAAGAUUUAUCAUUUUAUAGAAAAGCAAUGAGUUGUUAUUCUUUUAAAGGGAUGUUUGGAUGAGGUAAAAAUCUACUACUUACUUUAAUACUGCAUUUUUAACUUUGAUGCUUUAGAUAAUUCUCCUGUAAGAGGGAAUUUCAUUUUCUUGAUAUCCAUUGUUUGGUAAUGUUUUUUAAAUUGUGUCUCUGGAAGUACCUCAGGGCUGAAGCUUAAAAUUUUUUUUAAAAGAUUUUAUUUAUUUAUUCAUGAGAGGCAGAGAGAGAGAGAGAGUCAGAGACACAGGCAGAGGGAGAAGCAGGCUCCAUGCAGGGAGCCCAACAUGGGACUUGAUCCUGGGUCUCCAGGAUCAUGCCCUAGGCUGUAGGCAGCGCUAAACCGCUGGGCCACCGGGGCUGCCUGAAGCUUAAAAUUUGCAACUUUAUGGCAUUUGUCUGAGAUGCAACAGGAAGAAAAUGAGCACAAACAUCUCAUUUGUCACCUUAUAUAGUAAGAAUGAAUAUUACCUUAUAUGGCAAAAUAAAUAAGGAUUUUAAAUCUUUAUACUGGAUUAUCUGGGAGGACCCUAAUGCAAUCAUAUUUAUCCUUAUAAGAGAAAAGCAGAGGGAGUUUUUGAGACAGAAGAUAAUGAGGAAAUGUGACCAGGGAGGCAGAGAUUGGAGUGAUGUCAAAAACCAAGGAAUGCCUGGAAUCACCAAAAGUUUGAAGAAGCAAAGAAAGGAUUCUAUACUAGAACCACUAAUGGAUGCAUGACCCUAUUGAUACCUUGAUUUUGGCCUAAAAAUCAAAACUUAUUUUUGGAUGUCUGGCCCCCAGAACUAUGAGAGAACAAUUUUUGUUGUUUUAUUCCAAGCAGUUGUGGUUAUAGCAGUUCUAAGAAACUCUAAUUCACUUAGUUCAUAGAUUGAUUGAAUCUUUUUUUCCCCCUAAAAUUCAUUAUGUUAAAUUAAUUAUUAACUCAAAUGUGAUGGUAUAUGGAGGUGGGACCUUUGGGAGGUAAUUAGGUUUGGAUGAAGUCAUGAAGAUAGAGCCCAUAUGAUAGAACUAGUGUCUUUGUACGCAAAGGUCAGGUGGCUAUCUACAAACCAGGAAGUGGGCCUUCAUUGGACACCAGAUCUGCUGGCAAUUUGAUCUUAGACUUCCUAGACUCCAGAACUGGGAGAAAUAAAUGUUUUCUAAGCCAUCCAGUCUAUACUAUUUUAUUGUAACAGCUCAAACUGACGGAGACACUUGGAAAUGAAACAAAUGCAAAAAUAAAAUGUAAAUAUAAGAUUAGUCAGCCAUAUAAGAAAAUAUUUUACAGAGAUUGACUACUUUUAAAAAGAAAAUACUGUAUUUAGUGAUGGUGAUAAGAUGUGAUGAUGAUGAUGUAUGAUGUAUGAUGAUGGUAUCAUCAUACAUUGCUGUGAAAGUGAAGAAAAUUUGGCAAGGUGGAACAAAAUUAUGGAGCCAUUAGAAACUAUUUUCGAAGAAUAAGGUAAAAACAUGAUUACCAUAUAAUACUAAGUAAAAACAGGAUUUAAAAUUUCAUUUAUAUUAAGGGGGCUCCCCUAAGUUCUUAAGAUCUCCUUAUAUAUUUUGGAUAUUAAGCUCGUAUCAAAUAUAUGGUUUACAGAUAUUUUUUUCCCAUUCUGUAGGUUGCCUUUCACCCUGUUGGUGUUUUCCUUUAUUGUUCAGAAGAUUUUUAGUUUGGUAUACUCCUAUGUGUCUGUUUUUACUUUUGUUGCCUGUAAUUUUGAUGUCAUAUCCAAGAAGUUAUUGCCAAGCCUAAUAUCAGACUUCUUCCUUAGGUUAUCUUUCAGGAGUUGUAACAGUUUUAGGUCUUAUAUCUUUAAUAUGUUUUGAGUUGAUUAUUCCAUAUGGCAUGAGAUAAGGGUCCAGUUUUAUUUGUUUUCAUGUAGACAUAUUUUGAAAUCAUAGAGUGAUAACUUCAAUUCUAUUCUUCUUUCUUAAGAUUUUUUUUUUAUAUCUGUGGUCAUUUCUGGUUCCAUGUGAAUUUUAGGAUUGUUUUACUAUUCCAAGACUAUGUUGAAUAGAAGUGGCAAGAGUAAGAAUCCUUGCCUUGUUCCUGAUUUUAGAGGAAAAGCUUUCAACUUCUUACUGUUGAGGAUGAUGUUAGAUACGGCUUUUUAUAUAUGGCCUUUAUAAGUUGAGGUAAUUCCCUUUGAUAUCUAUGGUGAGAGUUUUUAUAUGAAAUAGUGUCAAAUUUUAUCAAGUGCUUUUUUUUGCAUCUGUUGAGAUGAUCACAUGAUUUUUAUCGUUCACUCUUAAUAUGGGAUGUCCUUAGUAAUUGAUUUUUGUAUUAUGAGCCAUCUUUGCAUUCCAGGGGUAAAUCCUACUUGGUCAUAGUGUAUGAUCCUUUUAAUGUGCUUUUAAAUUUGGUUUGCUAGUAUGUUGUUGAAGAUAUUUGCAUCUGUGUUCAUUAAGGGAUAUUGGCCAUAAUUUUCUUGUACUGACUUUGUCCCACUUGGUUAUCAGGGUAAUGCUGUCCUCAUAAAUUGAGUUUGGAUGUAUUUGCUCCUCCUCAGUUUUUUGAAAGAGUUUGAGAAGGAUUGGCACUAAUUCUUCUUUAAGUAUUUGGUAGAAUGACACCAAUCAAACCAUCCGGUCCUCGGGUUUUUGUCGUCAGAAGAUUCCUGAUUCCUGAAUUAAUCUCCUUACUCAUUAUUGAUCUGUUUGUAUUUUCUAUUUCUUCUCAUGAUUCAGUUUGUAUGUUUCUAGGAAUUUAUCUACUUCUUCUAAAUUGUCCAAUUUGUUACUCUAUAAUUUGUUUAUAGUAGUCUUUCAUCCUUCGUAUUUUCUUUGGUAUCAGUUGUAAUGUCUCUUUAAUAUCUAUUAUCUAUUAAAUAUUUAUUUAUUUGAGUCUAAUCUCUUGCUUAGUCUAGCAAAAAAAAGUCAAUUUUGUUAAUCUAAAAAUAUUUUGAUUUUUAAAAAUUUUCUGUUCUCUAUUUCCUUUAUUUCUGGUUUAAUGUUUAUUAUUCCCUUCCUUUGCUAAUUUUACACAUAGGGUUGUUGAGCUAAUUCCUUGAGAUAUAAAGUUAGGUUGUUUAUUUGAAAUCUUUUUCUUUAAUGUGGGUGUUCUUUGCUUGUACUGCUUUUGUUGUAUCCAUAAAUCUUGAUAUAUUGUAUUUUCAUUUGUCUCAACAUAUUUUCUCAUUUCUUUUUUGCUUUUUGACCCACUGGUUAUUCAAGAGUGUUCUCUUUAAUUUUCAUGAAUUUGUGGAUUUUCCAGUUUUUCCUUUGCUUUUGGUAUCUAAUAGCAUUGCGUUGUGGUUAGAAAAGAUACUUAUUACGAUUUUAUUCUUAAAUUUGCUAACUUUUGGGGAUCCCUGGGUGGCGCAGCAGUUUGGCGCCUGCCUUUGGCCCAGGGCGCGAUCCUGGAGACCCGGGAUCGAAUCCCACGUCGGGCUCC
rnacentral:lncRNA from 1 species